GACGAACGCUGGCGGCGCGCUUAACACAUGCAAGUCGAACGGAAAGGCCUGCUUUCCCUUGUGGAUUGCGGGUACUCGAGUGGCGAACGGGUGAGUAACACGUGAGUGAUCUGCCCCCAACUUGGGUAUAAGCCUGGGAAACUGGGUCUAAUUCCCGAUAGGACUGCAGGGUGGUGCCUGUGGUGGAAAACGAUUUUCUAGUGGUUGGGGAUGAGCUCGCGGCCUAUCAGCUUGUUGGUGGGGUAAUGGCCUACCAAGGCGGCGACGGGUAGCCGGCCUGAGAGGGUGGACGGCCACAUUGGGACUGAGAUAAGGCCCAGACUCCUACGGGAGGCAGCAGUGGGGAAUAUUGCACAAUGGGCGGAAGCCUGAUGCAGCGACGCCGCGUGGGGGAUGACGGCCUUCGGGUUGUAAACUCCUUUCGACCGCGAGGAAGCCACCUGGUUGGAAGGGUGGUGACGGUAGUGGUAGAAGAAGCACCGGCUAACUACGUG
rnacentral:rRNA from 1 species